UUAAAAGGCCGCAGUAUUUUGACUGUGCAAAGGUAGCAUAAUCAUUAGUUUUUUAAUUGAAAACUUGUAUGAAUGAUUGAAUGAGAUAUAUAUUGUUUCAUAAAAAUUAAAUUAAAAUUUUAUUAUUUAGUUAAAAAGCUAAAAUAGAAUUAAAAGACGAGAAGACCCUAUAAAGUUUAAUAUUAAAUUUUUAAUAAUUUAUAAAAAUUAAUUAAAAUUUUUAAAAUAAUAAUAUUUUAUUGGGGCGAUAAUAAAAUUUAAAAAACUUUUAUUAAUUAAAUCAUUGAUUUAUGAAUUUAUUGAUCCUUAUUUUAAGAUUAAAAAUUUAAAUUACUUUAGGGAUAACAGCAUAAUUUUUUUUAAAAGUUCUUAUUUAUAAAAAAGUUUGUGACCUCGAUGUUGGAUUAAAAUUAAUUUUAGGUGUAGAAGUUUAUAAAAUUAAGUCUGUUCGACUUUUAAAAUUUU
rnacentral:rRNA from 1 species